rnacentral:RNase_P_RNA from 5 species
GACCCUGGCUAGGCGACCGCCCGCCACACUGCAGAAGUGUGACGGGAGGAAAGUCCGAACACGGCCCGACACACUGGCUUGGCAUUGCGGCUUGCCGCGUUGCCUACAGCCGUUAGGCUGAAGCAAUUAUGUCAACGCAGUGUGGCGGGAGAAGGGUAGCGGGUAACGCCCGUCGUCCGCAAGGAUAGAGGUGCGAGCAGAGACGCUUCCGACGAAAGGCAGGAAGUGUCUCCCGGUUAAGUCCGGGAGAUGAGUCUUUAGGCGACUAAAGAAUGAAACGGCUAAAUCCUUACUUCUGUGCAAGGCCGUACUCUGGAAUGCUGGAGGCUGGAAUCUGGAUGCUGGAACAAAUCUCCAGUUUCUAGCUACCAGUCUCUAGCUUCCAGUUUGUGCCGCUUGAGGCGUUCAGUAAUGAACGUCCCAGAUAAAUGGUCGCCCGCGACAGAAUUCGGCUUAUCGGCCAGAGUCCAAA